UACGAAGGGGGCUAGCGUUGCUCGGAAUCACUGGGCGUAAAGCGCACGUAGGCGGCUUCUUAAGUCAGGGGUGAAAUCCUGGGGCUCAACCCCAGAACUGCCCUUGAUACUGAGGAGCUUGAGUCCGGGAGAGGUUAGUGGAACUCCGAGUGUAGAGGUGAAAUUCGUAGAUAUUCGGAAGAACACCAGUGGCGAAGGCGGCUCACCGGCCCGGUACUGACGCUGAGGUGCGAAAGCGUGAGGAGCAAACAGG
rnacentral:rRNA from 1 species